AAAAAAAAGAAAAAAAAAAAAAAAAAAUAAGUCUCUCUCUUCUACUCCUUUCUCAGUUACCCAAACCUCUCUUCUCCAUCGUCGGAUCUCUCGUCUCUCAAUAAAAACAAUCCCACCAAUCCCUUCUCUUUCUCUCUCUUUCAUCUCGCGCCAAAUACAAACUCUCUAACUAACCCUCCCCUUUCCCUCUCUCUCUCUCUCUCCAGGGAUUUCGGUUAGAUGGCGGAUAACCCAACAAGUCCGGCAGGAGGGAGCCACGAGAGCGGUGGUGAGCAGAGCCCGCACUCUGGAGUGAGGGAGCAGGAUAGGUACCUGCCUAUUGCCAAUAUAAGCAGGAUCAUGAAGAAGGC
rnacentral:misc_RNA from 1 species